rnacentral:lncRNA from 1 species
CUGAAGAGCUGGUCUCACUCCCACUGUGCCACCUCCAACAGCACAGAGUCUGUUUCCAGGCAGCAGGCAAGCAGGGCUUGAGAACUUUCCCCAGGCUACCCGCCUCCCAGCUGUGAAAGAAAAGGACUUUAGUUCUUCCCCCACCUGUGGAAUCUGCUGGCUGGAUUCAUGCCCUCCAGCAAGUUCUGGCCAGGAGGCUUCUCACCUGGUUCAAAUUGUUACAAAGUUCAGCUGGAGACUUCCUUCUCCCUGUGGCAUUUUCCCCAUACCUCUGGACACCCUCCUGAAGGAUCCCUGUGGUGCCAGGCAUGAAUGGCCUGCUUGGGGACCCAAUGAGUUCCCAGGACCCUUCCUGCUGCUUCUUCUACCCUUGUAUUUUGCUUGGCUGUCUAAAUUGACUCAGCUCCAGCAGUCCCCGACGGGCUUUUCUGUUUCCUACCGCGUUGUGAAGGAGAUUCUUGCUGCUUCUUCGCUUUCUGCCAUGAUUGCAAGUUUCCUCCGGCCUCCCCAGCCAUGUGGAACUGAGGCCUGCAUUAUUGUUGUCGAGUUCAAAAUCAUCUUUCAAAAUCAAGAAUUGACAUCAGUUCAUUACCCACGGCAAAAGGCUUCUAAAAAGCCUAUGCAGAAUUUUUGAAGCAUGGUCUGUGAAUAUGAUGGAAUAUCACUCUCAUGAAUAGCUCCAACUCCUAAAAUGAUUGCAUUUUGUUCUGUGGAAUGUGUGGCCCAUCAAAACCAGGAUCCCUGUUUCUCCAACUCUUCUAAAGGUGAUCUUCAUCACAAAUGGCAUCAACAGAAAACACCACUUGAAACAUAGGGGAAAAAGUGGCCCCACUUCCUUCAUUGGCUAUUUUCCUUUUUUUGUUGUUGGAUCCUUUAUGCAAUAAAAUAUAUUGUAAAAGUUAUAUCUAUUAACUCUG